UACAGAGGGGGCAAGCGUUGUUCGGAAUUACUGGGCGUAAAGGGCGCGUAGGCGGCCACCUAAGUCAGACGUGAAAUCCCUCGGCUCAACCGGGGAACUGCGUCUGAUACUGGGUGGCUUGAAUUCGGGAGAGGAAUGCGGAAUUCCAGGUGUAGCGGUGAAAUGCGUAGAUAUCUGGAGGAACACCGGUGGCGAAGGCGGCAUUCUGGACCGACAUUGACGCUGAGGCGCGAAAGCCAGGGGAGCAAACGGA
rnacentral:rRNA from 1 species